UAGGGAAUAUUAGAAAUGGACGAAAGUCUGAUCUAGCAACACCGCGUGUGCGAAGAAGGCCUUCGGGUUGUAAAGCACUUUUUGGAAGGAUUAGGAAGGAAUGUACUUCCAGAAUAAGUCUCGGCUAACUACGUGCCAGCAGCCGCGGUAACACGUAGGAGGCAAACGUUAUCAGGAUUUACUGGGCGUAAAGCGCGUGUAGGUGGUUCUGUAAGUAGGGCGUGAAAGCUCCUGGCUCAACUGGGAGAGGCCGUUCUAAACUGCAGAGCUAGAGGAUGGUAGAGGGAGGUGGAAUUCCGGGUGUAGCGGUGGAAUGCGCAGAGAUCCGGAGGAACACCAGAGGCGAAAGCGGCCUCCUGGACCAUUCCUGACACUCAGACGCGAAAGCUAGGGUAGCAAACG
rnacentral:rRNA from 1 species